rnacentral:sRNA from 1 species
CUUGUACUGGUGACAUCAGAUCUGCUGGGCUGGUGCCACUGGAGCCGAUGUGGUCCUUGUGACUCUUGCUGCCCCCAGCAUGGCUCUGCUGGUUCCAGCUGGAUGGCCCAUCUCCUGUCAGUAACCUGGCCCCGUCUGUUUUGCAGAUGACCCGUUGGCUUCCUGACCACCUGGCCGCCCACUGCUAUGCGUGUGACAGUGCCUUCUGGCUUGCCAGCAGGAAGCACCACUGCAGGAAUUGUGGGAACGUAUUCUGCUCCAGUUGUUGUAACCAGAAGGUUCCAGUUCCCAGCCAGCAACUCUUUGAACCCAGUCGAGUAUGCAAGUCUUGCUAUAGCAGCCUACAUCCCACGAGCUCCAGCAUUGACCUUGAACUGGAUAAGCCCAUUGCUGCCACUUCCAACUGAAGCUCAGUGACCUGGGUGGGCAGUGGCCAAGCUGCUGUUCCUAUGACAGGCCCACUCAGCCUGGGCAGACCGAGAGGCCCGUGCACUUUGGAAUGGGAGCGUGGAACCACCUGUAUAGAGUGACAGAAAUUUGGGAUGCACCACUGGAUUGUAGAUUGAUUUUU